CCUACGGGUGCUGCAGUGGGGAAUAUUGCACAAUGGGCGCAAGCCUGAUGCAGCCAUGCCGCGUGUGUGAAGAAGGCCUUCGGGUUGUAAAGCACUUUCAGCGGGGAGGAAGGCGUUAAGGUUAAUAACCUUGUCGAUUGACGUUACCCGCAGAAGAAGCACCGGCUAACUCCGUGCCAGCAGCCGCGGUAAUACGGAGGGUGCAAGCGUUAAUCGGAAUUACUGGGCGUAAAGCGCACGCAGGCGGUCUGUCAAGUCGGAUGUGAAAUCCCCGGGCUCAACCUGGGAACUGCAUGCGAAACUGGCAGGCUAGAGUCUUGUAGAGGGGGGUAGAAUUCCAGGUGUAGCGGUGAAAUGCGUAGAGAUCUGGAGGAAUACCGGUGGCGAAGGCGGCCCCCUGGACAAAGACUGACGCUCAGGUGCGAAAGCGUGGGGAGCAAACAGGAUUAGAUACCCCAGUAGUC
rnacentral:rRNA from 1 species